UACAGAGGUCCCGAGCGUUGUUCGGAUUCACUGGGCGUAAAGGGUGCGUAGGUGGCUGGGAAAGUUUGAUGUGAAAGCUCAGGGCUUAACCCUGAAAUGGCAUUGAAUACUGCCUGGCUGGAGGUUUGGAGGGGGGACUGGAAUUCUUGGUGUAGCAGUGAAAUGCGUAGAUAUCAAGAGGAACACCAGUGGUGAAGGGCGAGUCC
rnacentral:rRNA from 1 species